UACGUAGGAUCCAAGCGUUUGUCCGGAUUUACUGGGUGUAAAGGGUGCGCAGGCGGACUGGUUAGUCUGGGGUGAAAUCUCAUCGCUUAACGGUGAAACUGCCUUAGAUACUGCCAGUCUUGAAUCAGCGAGAGGUUCGUGGAAUUCCGAGUGUAGCAGUGAAAUGUGUAGAUAUUCGGAAGAACACCAGUGGCGAAGGCAGCGAACUGGCGCUCGAUUGACGCUCAGGCACGAAAGCAUGGGGAUCAAACAGG
rnacentral:rRNA from 1 species